rnacentral:rRNA from 1 species
UACGUAGGGUGCGAGCGUUAAUCGGAAUUACUGGGCGUAAAGCGUGCGCAGGCGGUUCGUUAAGUCAGAUGUGAAAGCCCCGGGCUCAACCUGGGAACUGCAUUUGAAACUGGCGGGCUUGAGUGUGGCAGAGGGGGGUGGAAUUCCGCGUGUAGCAGUGAAAUGCGUAGAGAUGCGGAGGAACACCGAUGGCGAAGGCAGCCCCCUGGGCCAACACUGACGCUCAUGCACGAAAGCGUGGGGAGCAAACAGG